AGCGAACGCUGGCGGCGUGCCUAACACAUGCAAGUCGAACGAGAAAGGGGCUUCGGCUCCGAGUAAAGUGGCGCACGGGUGAGUAACACGUGGGUAACCUGCCUCUAAGAUUGGGAUAACUCGUCGAAAGAUGAGCUAAUACCGAAUAAGACCACAGUUCCCGCGGGAACAGGGGUCAAAGGUAGCCUCUGCUUGCAAGCUAUCACUUAGAGAUGGGCCUGCGCACCAUUAGCUAGUUGGUAGGGUAACGGCCUACCAAGGCAAAGAUGGUUAGCUGGUCUGAGAGGAUGAUCAGCCACACGGGAACUGAGCAACGGUCCAGCCUCCUACGGGAGGCAGCAGUGGGGAAUAUUGCGCAAGGGGGGAAAGCUUGACGCAGCAACGCCGGGUGAGUGAUGAAGGCCUUCGGGUCGUAAAGCCCUGUCGGGGGGAACGAAUGGCCCUGAGGUUAACAGCCUCGGGGGGUGACGGUACCUUCAAAGGAAGCACCGGCUAACUCUGG
rnacentral:rRNA from 1 species